UUCUGGUUGAUCCUGCCGGAGGUUACUGCUAUCGAGGUUCGACUAAGCCAUGCGAGUCGAAUGUAGCAAUACAUGGCGAACUGCUCAGUAACACGUGGACAACCUGCCCUUAGGUUGGGUAUAAACCCGGGAAACUGGGUAUAAUACCCGAUAGGUCUCGAUUGCUGGAAUGCAUCGAGAUUUAAAGCUCCGGCGCCUAAGGAUGGGUCUGCGGCCUAUCAGGUAGUAGUGGGUGUAGCGUACCUACUAGCCUACGACGGGUACGGGUUGUGAGAGCAAGAGCCCGGAGAUGGAUUCUGAGACACGAAUCCAGGCCCUACGGGGUGCAGCAGGCGCGAAAACUUUACAAUGCUGGCAACAGCGAUAAGGGAACCUCGAGUGCCAGGUUACAAAUCUGGCUGUCGAGAUGCCUAAAAAGCAUUUCAUAGCAAGGGCCGGGCAAG
rnacentral:rRNA from 1 species